CCCUGAUGCAGCGACGCCGCGUGAGCGAUGAAGCCCUUCGGGGUGUAAAGCUCUUUCGUCGGGGACGAUAAUGACGGUACCCGGAGAAGAAGCUGCGGCUAACUACGUGCCAGCAGCCGCGGUAAUACGUAGGCAGCGAGCGUUGUUCGGAAUUACUGGGCGUAAAGAGUGCGUAGGCGGUUGGCUAAGUUUGGUGUGAAAUCUCCCGGCUUAACUGGGAGGGUGCGCCGAAAACUGGCCGGCUAGAGUGUGGGAGAGGGAAGUGGAAUUCCUGGUGUAGCGGUGAAAUGCGUAGAUAUCAGGAGGAACACCUGCGGUGUAGGACGGCUUCCUGGACCAUUACUGACGCUGAGGCACGAAAGCGUGGGGAGCAAACAGGAUUAGAUACCCUGGUAGUCCACGCCCUAAACGAUGCGGACUUGGUGUUCGCCCUUCAUUGGGUGAGUGCCGUAGCUAACGCGUUAAGUCCGCCGCCUGGGGAGUACGGUCGCAAGGCUG
rnacentral:rRNA from 1 species